AAGAUCCUAGCUUAAUUAAAGUACCUGGGUUGCAUUCAGGAGAUGUGGGGUAAUAUCCCGCGGGUCUUA
rnacentral:tRNA from 1 species